GACGAACGCUGGCGGCGUGCUUAACACAUGCAAGUCGAACGGAAAGGCCCUGCUUGCAGGGUACUCGAGUGGCGAACGGGUGAGUAACACGUGGGUGAUCUGCCCUGCACUUCGGGAUAAGCUUGGGAAACUGGGUCUAAUACCGGAUAGGAGCCAUCUUUAGUGUGGUGGUUGGAAAGUUUUUUCGGUGUAGGAUGAGCUCGCGGCCUAUCAGCUUGUUGGUGGGGUAAUGGCCUACCAAGGCGGCGACGGGUAGCCGGCCUGAGAGGGUGUACGGCCACUUUGGGACUGAGAUACGGCCCAGACUCCUACGGGGGGCAGCAGUGGGGAAUAUUGCACAAUGGGCGCAAGCCUGAUGCAGCGACGCCGCGUGGGGGAUGAAGGCCUUCGGGUUGUAAACUCCUUUCGCUAGGGACGAAGCUUUGUUGUGACGGUACCUAGAUAAGAAGCACCGGCUAACUACGUG
rnacentral:rRNA from 1 species